UGGGUAACCGGCCUCAAAGAGGGGAAUAGCCUCCCGAAAGGGAGAUUAAUACCGCAUAAUAUGUUUAAGUCGCAUGACUUUAACAUCAAAGGAUUUUCUUUUAGAAAUUCCACUUUGAGAUGGACCCGCGGCGCAUUAGCUAGUUGGUGAGGUAACGGCUCACCAAGGCAACGAUGCGUAGCCGACCUGAGAGGGUGAUCGGCCACAUUGGUACUGAGACACGGUCCAGACUCCUACGGGAGCAG
rnacentral:rRNA from 1 species